rnacentral:piRNA from 1 species
UCUGAGGACAGGGUAGCUUUUUGGUGGGU